UUUUUUUUUGGUUUUCCGAUUUAAGAUCGGUUUGCCUGCCGCCGCCCGUCGACCCUCGCGUGCUUCUACUUCGACUUCGGCAUCGACUACACCGGCCCCUUGUCCUACACGACGGCCUCACGCGACACAUGGCGGCUCGAAACGGUCGUCGUACGCGCAUCCGUCGUUCGCGUCAUUCUUCGCUGUACGUCGUCGCCUGGUCCGAUCUAAUCGGAAUCCUACAUCAACUCCACCUCCAUCCACUUCAGGCACAGGCAGGAUGGCACGUCACGUGCGCAGGUGCAACAGUGUUGCUUGUAUGGCGUGUGUUGCGCUGGCCCGAUCCGUGCUAUGUGCAUCUCCAGUGUCACGCGAGUAUUGGCCGUUCGUGCGUAUGCGCGUAUGAAGCGGCCUCCAGUCCAGGACGUGUACUUGGUGGUUUCGUUCCAUGCUCAUGCGACGCCAUGUCACGUUUCUGUUGUCGUCUCCGUCGUCCUCCCGUCCGUGAUCCACUCCGUCUUCAUCGCAUGUCUAGUCUGCUCAGUUGUAUGCAUGCCUUCGUACCGCCGCGCAGUCUACCUGAUCAACCAUGUGUGUGCGCCUUCGUCGAUUUCCGUGAAGAUCGUCUCCGAAUACUGCGCGCUCCUCCACCGAUCGAGCAACGGGCUGCUGUUGCGUCGCCCCAUGGUUCUUCCCGCGGCUGCAUCGACCCGCGUUCUGCCGCUUUGUUGCCUCUUUUGGUCGUAGUGUGCGGCCCGCAGUCUACCAUUGCCUCGAGGACGUCAGUUCCAGGCCGUCUUCGUGGCUGCACCGACCCUCGCGCUUCCGCUGCGUCGCCCCAUCAGGCCGUAGCGAGCGUGGCACGCGGUCUCUACUGUCGUCCGAGGCCGUCCCUACGGUUUCACUGACCCGCGGUCCGCCGCUGCGCCGCCCCUUCUGUCAUAGCGCCGCGGCCCGCGGUCAUCGUUGUUGCCCCGAGGUCUUCCUGUCGUCGCCUCGACCCACCUGCUGCCGUUGUGUCGCCCCUUCGGGCCAUAGCGUCGUGGCCCGCGGUCCACUUCGCCAUCCCUGCGCGUUGACUUCCCGUGGUAUGCGCCGCAUCGCCUCCUUUGGCGCGGGAACACCACUGUCCGUGUUGGUCUUCGUCAUAUGUUGUCGGGUUCUUCGCCUACUUUGAGCACCGCCGCCACGCUCCUACCCUAGCCGCCGCUCUUCUUCGGCCGCCGCCGCCGCCUGUCCACCCCCUUUGACUUCGUCCAGCACCAGCCCGUCGCCAGCAUCGCCGUCAUCUACCCCGACCACUUCCUCUACUCUGACCACUGUUGGUGACAUCGGCCCCCAUGCCGAUUGGCGCCACAACCGUCGUCGAGUCUUCUUCUCUGCUGGCCCUCCGACUCCUCGACAUGGCGUACAACUCGUUCAGGUCCCUCGUCUCCGCGUGGCCGGUGCUAACAAUACCGAUGCGUGUCUUCAUCCACGACGUGUCCCCAGGCCUAGCAAGCCUGGUCGGCACUUCGUCAACUUCGUCUUCGUUCGUCUACACAUGCCCGGUGCUGGCAACACCGACGCGUGCCUUCGUCUACGACGUGUCCCCGGGCUAGGCAAACCCUGCGCGAACCAUUGUCAACAUCUUCUUUCCGGCGCACCACUACUUCGACACAACUGCGCCUAUGACUAACAUGGCGCCUCCUUGCGCCCGCGGCUCCACGGCGACUACCUCAACACCGGCUACCCCGACUCGACAUCUACCACGGCGUUCUUCGCGCGGCUACCUCGACCACGGCUACACCACACACGCUCUCGGCUACCUCGACAAUGGCACAAAGGGUUAUCAUCCGUUUGAGCAACUCGUCGGCUUCCUCUACAAUCAACGCGUCCACAACGAGACACUGUCUGCGACGCUCCCGCUACGACUGCGGGGGGAUGUUAGAGAUAUAUUUGGUAGUAGAGAUUGACCAGGAUUAGAUAGAGUUAUUUUUAUCUUAUCUCUAGAAGGUGUCUUGCGCUCUAAGUCUUGUACUCAAUAUAUACUCGUCAUCAAGGCUCAAUAAUACAUCCAUCAUAUUCCGCUAAACCCCUCUCUUCCAUCUAACACAGGCAACCAAACGCGCCCUUGGAGACAAGCUCGACAAGGUUCUCCCCGCCGCACCAUUUGCCGCCGAAGAUUUGCAUGACUCGAGAAAUCCUAUCCUUGGCUCACUCCGCCUCCCCUUCCACACGAGUCGGCUCUGCAUUCCUCUUUCCGGUACCAGCAUUCCUCUUUCCGGUACCAUUGUAUUUGUUCAUCCGUCGAGGCACCAUGUGCCUAUGGCUAUCGGCUGCCAUGGGAUGGAACUAAUUUCCCUAACUAUCUGCGCAGGCGACGAUUCCUCCUUCGCUUCUUCCCGCGACGACUUCGAAUUUCCAGUAGGUUUGUCUUUCUAUCGCUUUAGCAAGGCCGUGCCAUUCCAUGGGAGGUGCCGAAGCAGGGACGAGCUCUCCCAGUUCGCGGCUUUUUUCUUUGAUCUCAUGAGUCUGGCUUCCCAAAUGACGGAAAAAUAGUCACCCGUUGUUUGUUUACCACGGGUGCAACCCAAGAAAACCAAACAAGACCCAAUUGAUUGAUACCACAACAUCGGUCUUUUCUCACCUUUUACCCGAAUUAAGGAAUCUUUUUUCUUACUUAUUACACGAAUCCUUGAGUGUUGUACCGCGCUCCUCAUGGCUGAAUAAGAAACCAGGAUGUUGAAGAAGUAGGCACCAACAUCAGGGUUAUCUCAAAAAUAUGAACUGAAGUGGGAAAAUUGCACAGAACAAAUGACGUAAGGCUAGGCAGUCUAUACGCAUCAACAGCUACGGUAGUGGGUGAACACCAAUCAGACACACCUAAAACGGUAAACCACAGGUAAACAUCACACAGUAGUUGAACUUCAGCCAGAUUUAUAAGCAUUACUGACAGGUAAACAUUCGGGACACCAUACAUAAUUAUCAGGCUUGUGCUUUGAUGCGAUGUGCGCCAGGAUCGACCAUUUUCAUUAGAGACUUCAAAAAAAGGUACUCAAAUCCCCACAGCUGAAUGUAAUAUAACACAAUCAGAUGCAGCAAAGGAGCAGGUACAAACAUAACGGAAGCAAUUCGAAAAAAAUGAGAAUUAU
rnacentral:lncRNA from 1 species